rnacentral:tRNA from 1 species
AUUGCAACAGCCCAGUUGGUAGAGCAUCUGCCCGGUAAGCGGAAUGUUGCCCGUUCGAUUCCGGCUUGCGAAG